UACGAAGGGGGCUAGCGUUGCUCGGAAUCACUGGGCGUAAAGCGCACGUAGGCGGCUUUUUAAGUCAGGGGUGAAAUCCUGGAGCUCAACUCCAGAACUGCCUUUGAUACUGGGAAGCUUGAGUCCGGGAGAGGUGAGUGGAACUCCGAGUGUAGAGGUGAAAUUCGUAGAUAUUCGGAAGAACACCAGUGGCGAAGGCGACUUACUGGACACGUAUUGACGCUGAGGUGGCGAAAAGCGUGGGGAGCAAACAGG
rnacentral:rRNA from 1 species